UUGUUCAUCUGUCUGUAACCGCGCGCCGGAGAACAGGAGCCAUUGCGACUCAGUAACGUUACAGCACCCGCUGCCGCUCGUGUUACUUCUUGCAGGAAGUGGAUACAGAAAUAGUUUCGCCCUCGGACGUUUGGUGUUUAAGCCUUCUUUAACUAAGAAACUCAACAUGGAGAAUGAGAACAAAUACCUCCCGCAGCUGCUGGCGGAGCGCGACAGCCUGGACGCGUCGUUCACGCACGCCAUGAAACUUCUAACCGCAGAAAUCGAGAGGGUUGAGAAAGGAGACACCGAGAAAGAUGCAGAAAGCUACCUGGACCUCUUCACCCAGAAGAACAUCAAACUGAAGGAAAGGGUUCUCAUACCAGUCAAACAGUACCCUAAGUUUAACUUUGUUGGGAAGAUCCUUGGACCUCAGGGGAACACAAUCAAGAGACUGCAGGAGGAAACUGGUGCUAAGAUCUCUGUGCUGGGGAAAGGAUCCAUGAGGGACAAAACCAAGGAGGAAGGCUUGAGGAAAAGUGGAGAGCCAAAGUAUGCACACUUGUCUAUGGAGCUUCACGUGUUUAUUGAGGUGUUUGCUCCUGUUCCUGAGGCAUAUGUGCGAAUGGCUCAUGCCAUGGAGGAGAUCAAAAAGUUCUUGUUCCCUGACAUGAUGGAUGAGAUUUGCCAGGAGCAAUUCAUGGAAAUGAAGUUUCUAAAUGGUGGUCAAGAACACGGGGGCAGAGGCCGAGGAGGGCCCCCAAUUAGAGGCCGUGGAGGUCUUCCUCCUCCUGGAGUACCCAGGGGUCGUGGUAUGCCCCCACGUGGUGGUCGUGGUGGACCCCCUCGAGGUGGAGCCACAAGGGGAGCACCUGCAGGUAGAGGAGGACCAUCAGCCCAGCCGCCCAGAGGAGCAGCUUCCAACCGCGCCCGUCCACCCGCUCCUGCAUCUCAGCGGAUGCCUCCUCCACCACCCCCACACCCUCCAACCCAAGAGUCAUACGAAGAAUAUCCUUAUGACGAGAGCUACACAGAGGCAGGCUAUGAAUCCUAUGACAGCUACUACAGUCAGCCACAAGCAGAACCAGAAUACUAUGACUACGGACAUGGAGAGACACAGGAGGGCUAUGAAAACUACGCUCAAGAUGACUGGAACGGGACACAGCGCCCUGCUGGCGGUGGAAAAGCUACCACUCAGAGACAGACUAAGCCUGGGUUAAGGGAACACCCAUAUGGACGAUACUAAUUCUGAUUAGUGGAACGUCACCAACGCGUCGCCAUGACAACUGUCUCCCAUGGCAGCUCACGCUUUAAGCUACCCGACAAAAGUUGUGAUGCCUAGCAAUUCCUGGAAAUGGAGCAUUUAAUCGAGUGUCAGACCUCUCCUCAGGAAAAGACAAGCGUUUGUUCGCAGUGUAAGAGCAAUCUUACCUUUGAACACCAACUGCCUUUUGGAAUCAUGGACAGUCUGACUGAACAGCUUCUGAACAUUGUGGAAUGGCAGAAAUCGAUGGUCCUGUCGGCUAACGUUUGAUCCAGCAACCUCUUAAUGUUAAAGCAGAAAAGUCAUGAGCUCUUGGUGGUGUUUAUAUUGGCUCUCCAGUCAUUAUGCAAGGUCAUUUUCUCUGUACUGAAAGUUUCUCUAUACCAUUCACCUCAUCAAGUGCUUUCUAAGCACACUUUACUUGAAAUGUUCAUCUUUAAAUUGACAACUACUGCUCAUGUUGGCCAAGAAAUCAUUUUAACAAGCUCAAAAAAUUCUGUCGGGGCUCUCCAGACGUCUACCUCAGACAAUACUCCAGUGCUUUAUUCUGCAAGACAAGCAUGUCUUCCCCGGUUCCUCGCUUGGAGGAACGUACAUGCUAAUUUGGAGCUGUCCAGCCCAUAUCUCUUAGCACAGACUUUGUCCGUUAAUUGCCAUGGUAAUUUUCAUCUUGCUCUUGAGUAGAUAUGUUUGAAUGGGUUUAUGCUGGCAGAGCUCACUUGGAGUCUGUGUGAAUCACAAAUGAAUCUUGCGUCUGAUGAACCAAGCACAAAAAGCUCCCGGGGUUUGCAGCAUAGUGUAACGGUUGAUCUAAAUCAUACUAACGUUUUUUACCUUCUGGAUAAAGGUCUUACUUGCCCUAAUUGAGAGCUUUCCAUAAAUUCUGCUUUGUUUUCUAAUCCUCGCUGUAUUUGGCACUGUGUAUGUGUUGCUGUCAGUGUAUAUCACAGUAGCUUCCAUCUUUUGCUCACCCCCCCACCCAGCACACAUAGGAUUUGUGCCUGUCAUUCUGACCAAUUACCGCCACUGACAGUGUGUCCUCCCCCCGCAGAGCCGCCACUGUUUCUGCCUGGUUAACAGGACUAAUGCCUUAUUUCAUUAGAAACAAAUCAGUCCUCUGCACAGAUUUUAAUAAGCAUCAGCCACUGCUCAAGUUUCAACAGUUGGAAAUGGGUGUGCAUGUGUAGGAGGUUGACUGGUUUGUAUACAGACUUCACCAUAAUAAGAAAUCGCAAAAGCGGAUAAUGGAAAUAUUUAAUUCAUUUUCUAGACAGAUGCUUAAGGGGUAAAGAAAACUACUCUCAAGGAGGAGGAAAUGUUCAAACCCACUGUGAGCACUUAAUCGGUCUUUAUUUACACGGUCAUAUCUGUUUGCAUUGGACAUGCAUGGCCUACAGCUGCUGGGGGAAUGCCUGUGGGGUAAUGUGCAAGGCAUGUGUGGCGGUCUGAAACUGGGGGAUUGUGGCUUGGCAGCUCUUUCCUCUUAACACACAUUGUGCAUGCUGAAAACAGGAAGCAUGGCUUUUCGAAUGCAAAUGAAAUGCAAAACGCUUACACUACUGACUGUCUGUCUUCCUGCAUGGCUAUUUUGCUAGUUUCCCACCUAACCAGUACACACUCUCCAGGGAGUCAGGGUUUUGAGUGCACGGGGAGGAGUUGUGACGGUUUCUGGCUCACGUCCUGGAGAACCGUGGCCGCUGGCCACCUCCUUUAGUGUGAAAUGCUGGUAAUAACCAAGCCUCCUAAAGGUCUCUCUCAGUGUGCUGUGAUGAAAAUGAAUUGAAUCCAUCUAUGUGGAGUCUGGCUCGAGUAAUCCGUAGCCCUCCAGGACUAAAAAUUGGACACCUCCACCUUGGCUGUCGCUAAAGUAACAUUCCAUUGCAUGUUUUCCAACAUCCACAUAAGCAGACACACCUAACACAAUGUUGGGAAACCAUGGGAAUUGCUUGGGAUUAGUGAUGAAAUACAAUGCCAGGAGUCUGUAUUCUUUUGUUUUCCUAAGGAGAUUGAUGAGCCUGUAUUUACAGUGCAACUAAACUGGAUUUGAGCUUAUUGAAGUGCCUAGCUGUUGGCCUUAUCUUAGUAGAAGCAAACUAAAGCCGUUGGGGUCAGAGAAACCGUUUGGUGACUUGGGGGAGCGGACAGAAUUUUUCUUUACAUUUGAAAGUCAUUCAGACUUGUUUGGUAGUUGGUGCAUCCAAGAGCACUCGCACACAGCGUGCAUAUUAUGUUUGCCUACAAUGAGAAUACUUAACUUCACAGAUGUUUUUACCUGUUUUGUAAUGUCAAAAAUAAAAAAAACUGAAUUCAA